AGAAGUAGAAGUGUGGUAAGGCCCCCAAGUAUCCACAUGUAUUAAUUGAAAUGGUCUAGUUGUACUGAUACUGCUGUCAUGAAAAGGGAGUCUAGUCUGCUUUGCCAUAGGGCAGAUAGAACAUGGAAAGGGUUGUUUAGGAUCAAGUGGAAAAGACAAACCCGAAAUAUGUUGUUAUAUUUUCAAAAGAAGUAUGUGCCAGUCUUAAAUGCCAAAUGUAAUUCAUAUCAUUGAUAACAACAUUAUUACAAAUNNNNNNNNNNNNNNNNNNNNNNNNNNAAGAAGUAGAAGUGUGGUAAGGCCCCCAAGUAUCCACAUGUAUUAAUUGAAAUGGUCUAGUUGUACUGAUACUGCUGUCAUGAAAAGGGAGUCUAGUCUGCUUUGCCAUAGGGCAGACAGUACAGGGAAAGGGUUGUUUAGGAGCAAGUGGAAAAGACAAACCAGAAAUAUGUCUCAUAUUUUCAAAAGGAGUAUGUGCCAGUCUUAAACGGCAAAUGUAAUUCAUAUCAUUGACAACAACAUUAUUACAAAUGGAAUUGUUCACAAAUGGAAGUAAGCCAACAUUUUUGCUGUCAGACACAGUGUCAUCAUUACAAAAAUCAAACAAAGCACACACAGAAGUAAAAGGAGAAACAGAAGAGGGAGAAGGGGAAGGAGGCACCCAAGNNNNNNNNGUGUGAACAGAAAUCUAGUUGUGUUUAAAGGAAGGAACCAGAAGCACAUUAUGAAGAGUAAGGGAAGAAGUUAAUGCAAAAGAACAUGUACAAGUUACAUUUACUUUGUAACCAUUAGGUAAAGUUACAAGAUAAGGAACAGUCAAAGGUAUGAUGUUAAAGAGUAGGUUUUUAUUAUGUGUCAUAUGAUUAGAUGCCCCUGAAUCAAUGAUCCAUGUGACAGAAUUAAUAUGUGUAAGCAUGCAUAAUUUGGAAUCAAAAACAAGAGUCUCAGUCAACAUUGUACCAGCAAAAUUAGCAGCACACAUAGAAGGAGGAGUUUGAUCACUGGAAUCCCCUAACUUGGUCUGUUGCAACAGGCUCAUCAAUUGAUCAUAGUGGUGUCUUCUCAACCCUGGUAUCACAGAACUGUGACCAUCUAUGUGGCUGGCAGAAGGAUCCCCAAGAGGA
rnacentral:lncRNA from 1 species